CACCCACCUUGGUCUCUCAAAGUGCUGGGAUUACAGGCAUGAGCCACUGUGCCCAGCUCACAGUUUUUUAAUCUUCCCAAGCUGAAACCCUAUACUCAUUAAACAAUAAUUUCCCAUUACCUUCUCCCCUCAGCCCCUGGCAACCACCAUUCUACUUUCGUGUCUGUGAAUUUGACUUCUCUAGGCACUUCUGUAUGUGGAACCCUACAGUGUUUGUCUUUCUUGACUGGCUUAUUACACGUAGCAUAACAUCCUCAAGGUUCACCAUUGUAGCAUAUGCCAGAAUUCCCUUCCACUUAUUUACUUGUUUGCUUAUUUGAGCAGAGUCUCACCCUAUCGCCUAGGCUGGAGUGCAGUGAUGUGAUCUUGGCUCACUGCAACCUCCCGCCUGCCCCGGCUCCAGUGAUACUCCUUCCUCAGCCACCUGAGCAGCUGGGAUUACAGCUCAAGGCCCCUCUCUGUGGAGCUGCCUCCUUUCUCUCAAGAAGGAUGCCUGGAGCUAGGAGGAUGCAAGAAUACAGGAUGCAGUUUCUGUGCCUUUACCACCCCUUCUGUGUCAACUUGUGCGGAACCUGACAUGCCACAGUUUGCUGGGCGGCCUGUCUCCCAGCAUUAGUGAGCCUCUACAGGGCAAGAGAGGUGGCAAAAAAAA